rnacentral:lncRNA from 1 species
AACUUCUUAUUACUCACAACGUAACUAUAUUAUGGCAAUGACAAAGACAUUGUUGGUUGUAUUCUUCAGUGUCCUUUUGGUUUGCUCUUUUUUUACACAAGGUGUUGAUGCCACAAAUAUUGGUUAUGGUGCAAUGAGAAGAGACACUAUUUCAUGCAGCAAAAUACAUCCAGGCGCUUGUAGCAACCCAGUUCCGGCCAACCCAUAUAAUAGAGGAUGCGAGAGAAACGAAAGAUGCCGUAAUGGUAAAAGAUUAUAAUUUUUCAUAUACCUAAUAUAGUUACUACCAACCAUCUAAAAUGAAUUGAAUCAUUGUUGAUAUCUUGAGUAUCAACUUUUGAUAUAUUUUUUUCUUACAUACAUUUUAGAAGAAAAAGUUUUUUUUUAUUAUUAAGAUUUGGAUACAUUGAGUAGUUCCAAAGUCUACAUAUUACGUACCUUUUGUAUUAUUUGAAAUCAUUAUAAUACAAGAUAGAUGAUAUGUUCUUUAAA